GUGAGGGUGACCGAGCGUGGGGGAGGCAGGCUAUCUGAAAACUGCCAGCUGAUGAACAAGAACAUCAUACGAGGCGCACAGAGUGGGGUGAGUGAGCACAACAUCACGAAAUCCCGUCAUUCGGCUCUGUGCGUAAAUGAUGCGGUUGGGCAGUGGAGGUUUCAGGA
rfam:Marine metagenome ctg_1101668584604, whole genome shotgun sequence.